rnacentral:rRNA from 1 species
UGGGGGAUAUUGCGCAAUGGGGGCAACCCUGACGCAGCAACGCCGCGUGAAGGAUGAAGGUUUUCGGAUUGUAAACUUCUUUUAUUAAGGACGAAACUUGACGGUACUUAAUGAAUAAGCUCCGGCUAACUACGUGCCAGCAGCCGCGGUAAUACGUAGGGAGCAAGCGUUGUCCGGAUUUACUGGGUGUAAAGGGUGCGUAGGCGGCUUUGCAAGUCAGAUGUGAAAUCUAUGGGCUCAACCCAUAAACUGCAUUUGAAACUGUAGAGCUUGAGUGAAGUAGAGGCAGGCGGAAUUCCCCGUGUAGCGGUGAAAUGCGUAGAGAUGGGGAGGAACACCAGUGGCGAAGGCGGCCUGCUGGGCUUUAACUGACGCUGAGGCACGAAAGCGUGGGUAGCAAACAGGAUUAGAUACCCUGGUAGUCCACGCUGUAAACGAUGAUUACUAGGUGUGGGGGGUCUGACCCCUUCCGUGCCGGAGUUAACACAAUAAGUAAUCCACCUGGGGAGUACGGCCGCAAGGUUGAAACUCAAAGGAAUUGACGGGGGCCCGCACAAGCAGUGGAGUAUGUGGUUUAAUUCGAAGCAACGCGAAGAACCUUACCAGGUCUUGACAUCCAACUAACGAAGUAGAGAUACAUUAGGUGCCCUUCGGGGAAAGUUGAGACAGGUGGUGCAUGGUUGUCGUCAGCUCGUGUCGUGAGAUGUUGGGUUAAGUCCCGCAACGAGCGCAACCCUUGCUAUUAGUUGCUACGCAAGAGCACUCUAAUAGGACUGCCGUUGACAAAACGGAGGAAGGUGGGGACGACGUCAAAUCAUCAUGCCCCUUAUGACCUGGGCUACACACGUACUACAAUGGAUGUUAACAGAGGGAAGCAAGACAGCGAUGUGGAGCAAACCCCUAAAAACAUUCUCAGUUCAGAUUGCAGGCUGCAACCCGCCUGCAUGAAGAUGGAAUUGCUAGUAAUCGCAGAUCAGAAUGCUGCGGUGAAUACGUUCCC